rnacentral:lncRNA from 1 species
GGCAAUUUUAUGGCAAGCACAUGUUCGGCUGUUAUGGCUGCCAAAUGGGGAGCUGGUCCCUUCACUCUCUAUGCAGGAGGCCCUGGAUUAGUUCUCCAACACUAACAUUUAAUAAAGAAAAACAGGAGUGUUUAAAGAGAGAUGGUCAGUGGUGGCUCCCACUGCAGGGGAUGUGCAGAAAGGCUGGAGUCCAGCAGCAGUUCAGCGGAUGAAGUACAUCAGAUGGCUCGCCCUGUCAGCCAGAGGCUCGGGGACUUUCCUGGGGCUACACCUCUCCAGAAGUUUGAAGAUAACCAUUCAAUGCUCCUCAUAUUUCUGACAACCAAGAACUUUGGAAGAAUUUCUGCCCUCAGGCACUCUUAUUUCUGUGUCCAGAUUGGCCUUCUUCCAAACUUACCAGAGACACCAGAGAAUGAAGUUGUCUGUGGAAGGCUACUGGACAAACUGGACCCAAGUUCACUGGACAUCUGAUAGAAAGGUCAAGAUGAUCCAAGCUUUGCUCUCAAGCUUGACAGGAAAAAAAAAAAAAACCAAACUGGAAUUUCUUCUUGUAUAAUGUGGGCUUGAAUUAAAGACAUUUUUCAGUCUGCAGGACCUUUGACCUUUGCUCUGAAUGGAACAGUCAUUGGGCAGGGCCAGGCUCUCACUUGCCAGGGAGGACAUACUAAUUUUGAGCCCUGUUCCUUCUCCAACACAAAACUGUGUUGACUUAGAUGAGCUACUCUGUCAGGGUACAGGGGGUUCUAUGUAGCAUUACCUGGCCCUGCCUUGGAUGGUGAGUGCUAUAUGUUUAUGAGGAGAGAUUAUAUGAGAAUGAAAAGAAUGAACCUAAAUGGUGGCUGCUUUGUAUGUCUUGAAGAGACUGGGCCCUAGUUCUGGCAAGGACUUCUUACAUCUUGAUUUCAGGAGAAUAAAAUCAAAUCACAAAUCUAAACAUGAGGACACACUCACCAGGGGAGAGAUGGGACUAAAUAAACUGUUCUACUUUAAACAGAUCCUGGAUUGCAAGGAAUGAGUGUUUAUAACUCUGGAAGCAUUUGUUUCCUACAAGUCACUGUGGAUGAGAACACAUGGUGAGGAGAAGGCUACACACACACACACACACACACACACACAAUGGUAC